GUCACUGGCUGGGGGCCUCCAGGGAGAGGGAUGGUCAGCUUUAGGGGCUGGGGGCUGAUGUGAGGACCGGGUGCUCUUGGUGGCUGCAAAUGUCCCUGGUCAUGUGGCCUUGCAGGCCAGCAAGUGGCUAUCCAUGGCCCUACCAGGAGGCUGUGUAACUUCGUUCAUUCAUUCAUUCAUUCAUUGAACAGCUGUAUCCCGGGAUCUCUGAUGUGCCAGGCACCAUCCACUGUCCCAGGCGCUCCAUUCUAUCUCCGUAUCCCUGGAACACAGCCCAGUCAUCCCUGCUCACUUGCAGUCCCUGAUGUCAGCAUGCUGAUGGAGGGGAAAGCUGUGAUUUGGCAUUAUUCAACCUCGUCAUCACCUAGAAUCUUCCGUCAAUUGCUGUGCCAAGGUCAGGUGGGAAGCCACGCUGACGCUGGGAGAUCUGGCUUUUCCAGCUACUGUGAUCACCUUGCAAGAACUGAAUCGAAC
rnacentral:lncRNA from 1 species